rnacentral:rRNA from 1 species
AUUGAACGCUGGCGGCGUGCCUAAUACAUGCAAGUCGAGCGAAUGACGAGGAGCUUGCUCCUCUGAUUUAGCGGCGGACGGGUGAGUAACACGUGGGUAACCUGCCUGUAAGACGGGGAUAACUCCGGGAAACCGGAGCUAAUACCGGAUGAUAACGAGAAGCGCCUGCUUCUUUUUUGAAAGUCGGUUUCGGCUGACGCUUACAGGUGGGCCCGCGGCGCAUUAGCUAGUUGGUGAGGUAACGGCUCACCAAGGCGACGAUGCGUAGCCGACCUGGGAGGGUGAUCGGCCACACUGGGACUGAGACACGGCCCAGACUCCUACGGGAGGCAGCAGUAGGGAAUCUUCGGCAAUGGACGAAAGUCUGACCGAGCAACGCCGCGUGAGCGAUGAAGGCCUUCGGGUCGUAAAGCUCUGUUGUCAGAGAAGAACAAGUAUCGGAGUAACUGCCGGUACCUUGACGGUACCUGACCAGAAAGCCACGGCUAACUACGUGCCAGCAGCCGCUGUAAAAC